rnacentral:rRNA from 1 species
GACGAACGCUGGCGGCGUGCUUAACACAUGCCAGUCGAACGGAAAGGCCCUGCUUUUGUGGGGUGCUCGAGUGGCGAACGGGUGAGUAACACGUGAGUAACCUGCCCUUGACUUUGGGAUAACUUCAGGAAACUGGGGCUAAUACCGGAUAGGAGCUCCUGCUGCAUGGUGGGGGUUGGAAAGUUUCGGCGGUUGGGGAUGGACUCGCGGCUUAUCAGCUUGUUGGUGGGGUAGUGGCUUACCAAGGCUUUGACGGGUAGCCGGCCUGAGAGGGUGACCGGCCACAUUGGGACGGAGAUACGGCCCAGACUCCUCGGGAGGCAGCAGUGGGGAAUAUUGCACAAUGGGCGGAAGCCUGAUGCAGCAACGCCGCGUGCGGGAUGACGGCCUUCGGGUUGUAAACCGCUUUCGCCUGUGACGAAGCGUGAGUGACGGUAAUGGGUAAAGAAGCACCGGCUAACUACGUG